rnacentral:lncRNA from 1 species
GUAGACUCUACCAACCCCAAGAUCACAGCCCUGGCAUUGGCAGGGUCUUCAGAGGCCAUCUUGACUGCCUCCCUCACUUCAAAAGAAGACACAAGCAGACCUGUUCGGUGACUGGCUGAGGCUCCAGAGCCAGUCCCCAGGAGAGGGACCCUCUGAAUGACAGACUUCCAAACUCACAUCCAGGUCCACCUCUUCCGACAGGCAUUCAGAUGCCUGCUAGAUCCAUUAAGACAGUAGAAAGGCCUACAAGUCAACAUGGAGAAGAAGAUCAUUCCUGGAUGAACAGCCUCUUCAAUUCAAGGAGAUUGAAAAAAUGGCAGGUGGAGGCUCUGACUUUCUCCCUGUCAAGGGCCCCUGAUCAAUGGAUCCAUGAUUGUAUGAGGUUGUGUAUCCUCCAUGGACCGCAGGUAACUCAUCCACACAACUUACACGGGCUGUGCUGUACCUGCCCAUGUCUUCCCACCCUGAGUUUCCACGGAUGGCUGUGCUGCCGAGGGGCCCAGCUGCCUCUGGUCCUUCCAUCUCUGCCUGGCAGCCUGACUCUCUCUCUCCAGCCUGGGUUGACCGGAUGAUAUCCUCACACAUCCUGAAUUAAAGGCUUCAUGGCUAAAAUGCUGGCUUUCAACUCCACUUUGGAAGGACCAUAGUUUUGAUUCUUUGGAAAUUGCAAAAUACAUUUUCUUUUAUUCAAUUCUUGUUGUUCAGUUCUUUAAUCCUGUCUGACUCUUCAUGAUCCCAUGGAUCAUUACUGUCCUUGGGGUUUUCUUAGCAAAGAUACUGGAGUGGUUUGCCAUUUCUCUCCCCAGUGGAUUAAGGUUAAGAGACUUGCCCAAGGUCAAACAACUACUAAGUGUUGGAGGCUGGAUUUGAACACAGGUCUUCCUGACCCCAGAUCCAGAGCUCUAUCCAUUUAGCCACCUAGCUGCCUCCUGUUCACUUCUAGAUCCAGAUAACUAUUAAGCUAAGAAUCAAGGGCUUAGUGUGUCUACUGUAUGAAGGAAAUUCCUCUCAUAUGGAGGAGGGAGACAACAUCUGAUGUCCAAAAUAGAUACCAAG